UAUAGCCUAUCCUUUAGUAGAUAGAGGUCAGACGACGCCAUGGCUGGAUUUGUGACCAGAGUUUAUCAUACUAUUUUUCGUCGAUCUUCAUCAUAUGCUCUCGCCGUUGUUGGUGGAGUUUUCUUUUUCGAAAGAGGAUUUGACAUGCUCGCCGAUAGUAUUUUUGGGAAUAUCAAUAAAGGGAAACUCUGGAAGGACAUAAAAAUCAACUAUGUACAGGAAUAAGGAAAUAAUCCUGUUAAUAGGAGGAACUCCUUCAGAUGCAAAAAAAUGCUAUUGUUUAAACAUCUUAGAUGGCAGUGAAGACCACUCUGCACCAGUUGUACAUUCAUCAUAUUUUCAUCAUAAAGAUUGCUUGUCUGAAGAGAUUUAAUCAAAUGUAGUAAUGUAUAGUAAAGAUUAGACCAAUUGUUGAAAAAUAAAUUUGAA